rnacentral:rRNA from 1 species
UACGUAGGGGGCAAGCGUUGUCCGGAAUCAUUGGGCGUAAAGCGCGCGUAGGCGGCCCUGUAAGUCCGCUGUGAAAGUCAAGGGCUCAACCCUUGAAUGCCGGUGGAUACUGCAGGGCUAGAGUCCGGAAGAGGCGAGUGGAAUUCCUGGUGUAGCGGUGAAAUGCGCAGAUAUCAGGAGGAACACCGAUGGCGAAGGCAGGUCUCUGGGCCACUACUGACGCUGAGAAGCGAAAGCAUGGGGAGCGAACAGG